rnacentral:rRNA from 1 species
UACGGAGGGUGCAAGCGUUAUCCGGAUUCACUGGGUUUAAAGGGUGCGUAGGUGGGCAGGUAAGUCCGUGGUGAAAUCUCUGAGCUUAACUCAGAAACUGCCGUGGAUACUAUUUGUCUUGAAUAUUGUGGAGGUGAGCGGAAUAUGUCAUGUAGCGGUGAAAUGCUUAGAUAUGACAUAGAACACCAAUUGCGAAGGCAGCUCACUACACAAUUAUUGACGCUGAGGCACGAAAGCGUGGGGAUCAAACAGG